rnacentral:rRNA from 1 species
CCUCGGGUGGCAGCAGUGGGGAAUAUUGGACAAUGGGCGAAAGCCUGAUCCAGCCAUGCCGCGUGUGUGAAGAAGGCCUUCGGGUUGUAAAGCACUUUCAGUGGGGAAGAAAGCCUUGGGGCUAAUACCCUCGAGGAAGGACAUCACCCACAGAAGAAGCACCGGCUAACUCCGUGCCAGCAGCCGCGGUAAUACGGAGGGUGCGAGCGUUAAUCGGAAUUACUGGGCGUAAAGCGCGCGUAGGCGGUCUGAUAAGCCGGUUGUGAAAGCCCCGGGCUCAACCUGGGAACGGCAUCCGGAACUGUCAGGCUAGAGUGCAGGAGAGGAAGGUAGAAUUCCCGGUGUAGCGGUGAAAUGCGUAGAGAUCGGGAGGAAUACCAGUGGCGAAGGCGGCCUUCUGGACUGACACUGACGCUGAGGUGCGAAAGCGUGGGUAGCAAACAGGAUUAGAUACCCCUGUAGUC